GGGAAUAUUGGACAAUGGGGGAAACCCUGAUCCAGCGACGCCGCGUGAGUGAAGAAGUAUUUCGGCAUGUAAAGCUCUAUCAGCAGGGAAGAAAAUGACGGUACCUGACUAAGAAGCCCCGGCUAACUACGUGCCAGCAGCCGCGGUAAUACGUAGGGGGCAAGCGUUAUCCGGAUUUACUGGGUGUAAAGGGAGCGUAGACGGUUCUGCAAGUCUGGAGUGAAAGCCCGGGGCUCAACCCCGGGACUGCUUUGGAAACUGUGGAACUAGAGUGCAGGAGAGGUAAGUGGAAUUCCUAGUGUAGCGGUGAAAUGCGUAGAUAUUAGGAGGAACACCAGUGGCGAAGGCGGCUUACUGGACUGUAACUGACGUUGAGGCUCGACAGCGUGGGGAGCAAACAGGAUUAGAUACCCUGGUAGUCCACGCCGUGAACGAUGAAUACUAGGUGUUGGGGAGCAAAGCUCUUCGGU
rnacentral:rRNA from 2 species